rnacentral:rRNA from 1 species
CCUACGGGAGGCAGCAGUGAGGAAUAUUGGUCAAUGGACGCAAGUCUGAACCAGCCAUGCCGCGUGCAGGAAGACGGCUCUAUGAGUUGUAAACUGCUUUUGUACGAGGGUAAACGCAGAUACGCGUAUCUGUCUGACAGUAUCAUACGAAUAAGGAUGGGCGAACUCCGUGCAAGCAGCCGCUGUAAUACGGAGGAUUCAAGCGUUAUCCGGAUUUAUUGGGUUUAAAGGGUGCGUAGGCGGUCGGAUAAGUUAGAGGUGAAAUCCCGAGGCUCAACUUCGGAAUUGCCUCUGAUACUGUUCGGCUAGAGAGUAGUAGCGGUAGGCGGAAUGUAUGGUGUAGCGGUGAAAUGCUUAGAGAUCAUACAGAACACCGAUUGCGAAGGCAGCUUACCAAGCUACUUCUGACGUUGAGGCACGAAAGCGUGGGGAGCAAACAGGAUUAGAUACCCGUGUAGUC